GACGAACGCUGGCGGCGUGCUUAACACAUGCAAGUCGAACGGAAAGGCCCUGCUUUUGUGGGGUGCUCGAGUGGCGAACGGGUGUGUAACACGUGUGUAACCUGCCCUUUACUUUGUUAUAACUUCAGGAAACUGGGGCUAAUACCGGAUAUGAUCUCCUGCUGCAUGGUGUGGGUUGGAAAGUUUCGGCGGUUGGGGAUGUACUCGCGGCUUAUCAGCUUGUUUGUGGGGUAGUGGCUUACCAAGGCUUUGACGGGUAGCCGGCCUGAGAGGGUGACCGGCGACAAUGGGACUGAGAUACGGCCCAGAAGCCUACGGGAGGAAGCAGUGGGGAAUAUUGCACAAUGGGCGGAAGCAUGAUGAAGAAACGCCGCGUGCGGGAUGACGGCCUUCGGGUUGUAAAACGAUUUCGCAUGUGACGAAGAGUGAGUGACGGUAAUGGGUAAAGAAGCACCGGCUAACUACGUG
rnacentral:rRNA from 1 species